GGAAGCGUAUCGAAGUGGUCAUAACGAGCCACAUUGGAAAUGUGGUGUACGGGCAACCGUACCGAGGGUUCGAAUCCCUCCGCUUCCGCCA
rnacentral:tRNA from 1 species